rnacentral:lncRNA from 1 species
GACAUAGGAUCUGGCCAGCUCCCUCUCCUGAGCUGCUGUACCCUGAGGUUUGCGGGAUGCUGAUACCAUGCUCUCCAAGAUGUUCAAAAGCUCGGAUAAACAUUUGGUAAUGUGGAUUUAUGGCUUUCUCUACCCAGGCAGAUCACACAUGUUGUAACCACACUGAAAAUAUUUCCUGAAGAACAGCAGGAGAAGGAGUGGGAGAAAUGCAGGCAAGAAGUUACAGUGGAGAAGGAAAGACCAAAAGCAGUUUCAUGGAAGUCCAGCUGGACAAAGAACCCAUGCAGCGGAGGGAACUGAGCCCCACGUUUGAAGUUUACAGCUCACA